CAAGACGAAGAAGAGAGAAGAGCGGUCAAGUUUUGUGGAGAAUUGAGGUGUCGGGUUGCCGAUGAGCUUUUCACUUCUCCUUCCUUUGCUAUUUUGAUUUAAUUCCUCAUUCACACCAUGUAUGUGUUUAUACGUAGAUUUAGAAAAGGUUUAAAGCUGGGAGAGAGGGAAACUUGAAUGCCAAGAGGAGCUCCAACCCCCCUUUCCAUUUAAAUUCAGGUAAAGUGCAAGUUGCUAUUGGAAGUCCUUAAAAAUUAAAUCUAACUAGUGGGUUUAUUUUAAUAAGAAAUUUUAUGCAGGAUUCAACCUGACGGAGACUAUUCACUUGUUUUUAUUUUUUUUUAAAAUUCUAUUUUUCUAGCUUCAAAUUUUUUUUUUGUUGAUGGAUGAAAACGAAGAAGGGAGGUGAGGGUACGUGUAAGGAAAGGUUUGAAG
rnacentral:lncRNA from 1 species